GUGCGCGCCUGAACUUUUCUGGGCGUGGGUUUCUUAGUGUAAGAAAUCUGAAAAAUAGGUGUGGUAGUAGUUUUCACAUGUAGAAAAUAUCAGCUGGUGGGCCUGCAGGCUCAUCAGGAUGUAUUCAGCAUCUAGUUGAUCUGAUAGGAAUCACAUCCAUCAUGGAGGUGUUGAUUCGACUCGUUGGCUGAUGAUCAGAUCUAUCCUAGUUUUCAUGGACGUGAUGGAGUGGCUAGCCAAUGAUCAUCGAUAAACUGAACCCGUCAAGUUCUCCCGAGGUUCACGCUAAUACAGCAGAAACACUUGGUGCCAUUAUUCGUAACACGCCAUCAGUAGAUAAUAUGCUAAGGAGUCUGGUGUUCCGCAAAUUCAUAUGCAGCUUUGUUGAAAUAAUAUUUGGUCGUGCACCGGAAGAUACACAAUCUAAAUCUGGUCUUGUGGACUCACUUUCAUUGUGUAUCUUGUACUUGGUUUCCAAAAGAGCAACUUAUUCUCCAUCAGUUCACUCUAUUCGAAGUCAACAUUUAUACAAACCACUCUAUUAAUCCCGAGACAGUUAGUGCCAUGCUGCCAAAACUUGGAGACUUGCUUAAGCUUUUGAAUGUGUGCUCUGGUAGUAAAGUCUUACCUACCACAUAGGGAAACAAGCAUCUUACAAGAGCGUAACAAUGUAGAAAAUGUCAACCGGUGGGCCUGCGGAUUACUCACUGACCAAACCCAUAUCCAAGUGAGAGCUUCCCUGUAACAGCCGACAAAAAACUCAAUUCACCCACAGGGGAAAAAAAAAGUCUAAUAAUAAGGAGAACUUGCAAUGACGAAGCUGCUACUUUCAAGUUUCAAGAGGAAUCCUGUUAUCAUCAUCGUAAUCGGAAUAACAGGUAUUUACUACUUUCUCGAAUCGUUAAGGUUUUAUUUUUCUUUGCAAUCUGUAAAAAUGUAUCGGAAAGACAGUCCAGUUCUAAGGCUUCUACCUUUGAAAAGAAAGCAGUUCUAGAGGUGACGAGUUAUCUGCUCCCCUUCGUUAUUGGCUAGCUCACCCCAUUGAUCAAUCUUCUUCCUUUUUGUGAAUUCUUUGUAGGGGUAGUGGGUCUGGUUUUAUAUUCAUUGUUUUAAUUUAGUGCAGCUAUUGAGAACUAACCACGUGUACAACAACAUAAUCUCUCAUUAGAGUAACUUAACAAUCCUGCAUUUGGGUUGCUUGUUUUGUUUGUGGCAUUUGCUUUAACUCAGGUGAAGGAAAUCUACGUACUAAGAAUGGGAAAAGAAGACUCCUAAUUGAACUGGUUUAGUCUUUGUAUGUCUAAUCUUUACUGCUUUUAAGCAUUUGGGAUUAGAAAUAUAAAUACUAACUCAACUUCAGUUAGCAAACUUCUUGGCAUAUCCAUUAAGGGUUUGAUUACUCAAAUACUCGCAAAGCGGCUAACUGCGUCUCAAGUUUUUGAUUAUGGAAUUCAUAGUGACCUUUCAAGUACUUCUGAAGAGAAGUUGGAUAAAGUCAAUUUGACUGGAGCAAAUGGUGGGAGCAUCAGUAGGGAUGUGUAAUACCUGAAAAAUGGGGGCUUUGCCUUGCUACAUUUUUUUUCUUUUAAAACAUUUCAACCUUUCUACUCAAAAAAAAAAAAAAAAAAAAGAUU